rnacentral:lncRNA from 1 species
AUAAAAUAUCAAUACAUAAUAGUAAUUAAUACCGUAAUUCGUGUAGAUAAAAUGAAAUUAUUAUUAAUUAUUAUUAACAUUUUCAGUAAAUAAACUGGAUAUUAGAGAUUAUACAUCUAUAUGGAAAUAAAAAGAUACUUAUUGUUCAAGGAAUUUCAUCUUUAGAUGACAAUUAAAAAUACAUCUUUAAUCGUACCGAGGUGGAUUAAUAUUAAUUAAUAUUGUGCUUCUCAACCUCUGGAUUACCUUCUUCACAAGAAGUAUCGAUUAUUAGAUUUUUGUCAAGAUAGUAUCAGUUUUUUCCAGGUACAUUCCAAGAUUUAUAGAUAAUCUUAUCUAUUAACCGUAGUAUGUUCACAGAUGAAGUGGGUUAUUUCCAUAGAGUAAUAGUGUGUAAUUGUACUGUAAAAUAGAAACCAUUUGCGCAUCAACUCGUUGUACAAAACGAUAUUGAGAACGACGUCUCUGUAUUACCCUAUGGUUAUUUCAAACCUCGACAAAUAACCACCCGACAUGAAACGUAACGUAGAUAACAUAAGAUAUAAUAAAUAUAUUAUCUAUGUCUAUAAAGGAUGUAAGUAAAACAAAUAUCUUCACCGUUGUCACAGUCUCACCGGUUACUAUUAAUUGUAACUGUAUGAAAAUGGUCUACUAUCAAUAAUAAAUAAUUUGUGACCGGUGACUGUCUUAAGCACUCGAAAAUCUACAACUCUACCAAUCUAACCAAUCAUCUAUUUCGGUACGACAAUCGCGUUCAAACAUUUUACAUUUUAUACUAAAAUAAUCAAUUUCACACCUAGCGGCAUAAACAUAAUUCACCUUGAAAAUGUUUGAUUAAUUUCUGUGCCUUUUUGUCGAAAGAAAUAUCGUAAAGUUAUCGUAUCCAAAUAUAUUAUAUAUUAAUAUAUGGUUGGUAGUACUAUCUGUUAUCACAUAUUCACGGGGCUCUAUGUCGCAUAGUUAUAUUUUGUCGGGAGGGCUUUUUGACGAUAAUUAUAUAUUGUCAAUACAGUUUAAGAUACAUGUAAAUUAUAAGAUUAUUAGCAAAUCUGAUUAUCAAAUGUGUACUUAAAUAUUCUGUUAGUAGUGCUGUAAUAUGGUGUUUUGUCGAAUAGCUCAUUGUCAUUAUCUGGUGAUUUUACGUCGGGUGGCUUUAUAAUAUGGUAUCACCGGUAUUUCAGUGGGUAUAUUCAACAAAAACCGAUUCUUAACGAUAAUGACUUCUUGAAAUCUUCUACAUAUGACGUAUGUUUGUAAAAAUACUCAUUAAUUAACCAAUAAUUGCGAUAUAAAAUUCAAAAUUCAAAUAAAAUAUUAUGGGUUGGUAGGUCGUAAGUAUUAAUAUUUUAUUUAAAUUCUAUGUAGUAGGUAUUAUUAUUGCAUAAUGUAUUAUAUCAGUUGUUUUUCAAAUAUGGCUUAUUAUUUUUUAUAAAUCUUUUCAAAUUUAAAUUUUUUUUCAUAAUGCAUUUUUUGAUGUUUGCAUGAAGCUAUUGAAUUGGUAAUAUCUAUAAGUAUGAAAAAAAAGUAGUAUACUAAGGGGCGAAAUGUAGGCAAACUAUUAAGCUAUUCAUAAUCUCGCGGGGCAUUGAUAAUAAAUUACUCACAACUCUUUUUGUACGGAAUGCCCCCGCCCCGUAUUUUCAUUUAUUCUUAAUAGUAUUUAGAUCGAAUAGUUUUUCUCGUGUAUCUGUGAACAUUGCAUAGGUGCUCGGCGUUUUUUAACUCUACCAAAUUCUGUUUUUUACCUAUACAGUCGUAAAACGGAUUCCCAUGAACUUAAUUACCGUUGAACGAUGAUGGUAAAUUGAUAACCUGCAACGUCCUCGUCGUCACCACCCGUCAGUUUAAUUUUCAAAACAUUAUGAUGCAGUUGUACAAUAAUGAAUUUUGAUGUCGAAAGCUCGGUGAGUUUGACACUUUAAUUGGUAAAUUGAUCGUCAUCACUUCAAAUAAUAACUCUUUGACAUUUAGUUUACUAAAGACGUUUAAAUUUAUGUUCAAUAGGGUCAGUAAUAUUAUUUAAUAAUAACUAAACUUCAUUAGAGAGUUAAACGUGCACGCUUUUUUAUUAUCAUAGCUUGAUACUGUAUUGUUUUUUUAGUAUUUAUAUUUUAUUAUAAAGCAUAAGCAAGUUCUAAAUGAAACCAGGCUAUUAGACAUUGUAUUUUUAAAUAUCCAUACAACCUUUUAUUUACCCUGUGACUGUACAAAAUAAACAAAGAUUAUAGUUUAUAGGAGCCAGUAAACUGAUAAAAAAGUUCACUUAGUAAUGGAUAGACAUCACCUCGAUUCACAGUUGGAAGAAUGCAUGUGGCAAAUACUAAUUGAUGUUAUAUCUUAUGCAAUUUUGAUAGAUCACUCUAUGUAUAGUGAUAAUUCAGAUAUUUAAAAAUAAAAAAACCAAGAAAUCCAUUAAUUUAUUUAACAGUUACUACAUAAUACUUAAUUAUAUAAGUACUGUUUUAGCUACCAGAGUAUUAGCUAUACUUGCCUUCCUAAAACUAUACAGGAUUAUUUUGUUUGAACAACAUUUUAUCAUACCCUUGUCCUUAUUUUCAAUUUAUUAUCAAUGACAGAUUCACAAAGAGUUAUAAUAAUAGGAUUAUGAUAUUAUGUUUAUCCAUGACUUAACAAUAUAACAAAUUAUCUGACCAAUAACCUAUUAACCUAUAUUAUUUAUCUUCGCCUAUUUAUGUAGCAUAUUCAUUUUUAUUAACAUUAUUAAUAAUAAUUAUAGCAACCAACAUGGAAACUAUGGGGUGAAGAAAAAGAAAUUGAUGCAGUCUACACAAUUUAUUUAAAAAAAGUACGAUAUCAGAAUCCUACGAAAACACUAUUGUUGGUAUGUUUAUUUUUAAAUUAGUAAAUUAUUUAGUUAUUUACUUAUAAAUAAUAGUAGAAAAGAAAAAAACAAUAUUAUUCACAUACAUAUUUAUUAAUUUUAUCUUAAUAUUUGAGAAUACAUAUAAUUUAUUAUUUUAAGUAAGUAAAAUAAAUUAUAGCAUGUCUUCUUGUCUUAAAUAUGUUCAUAUUAGAUACAUUUUUCAAAUUUCAAAUCAAGUUUCCUUUUUAUUUAUUGGUUAUUCAAAUUGGCCACAGAUAAUAAUCUGGGAAACCUUAUUUUCUUAUAUUAGAUUUUGAGCGAAGUGAGUAAUAUAUUAAUUAUUAUGUGGGUUUUUUUUCUGUAUCUGUUAAUUUUUUUUUUAACCUAUAAACUUUGAAUAUUAGUGUUUUCAAAAUAAAUCCAAAAAGUUAUUUAAAAAAUAGUUGAGUAGUCUGGUAUCUCAUAGCGAUAUUUAGGUUUACACUGAUCUCCUUCUAGUAGUAUUAGGUCAGGUGUUAUCCUGUUCAUAGUGGGAGGGUGCAUAUUAUGAAAUAUAAUUUAUUGUGGUAUAUUGCCCAUUACCACAUAUGCUCUCCGCAAGGUUUAUUUUUAUGUACAGGUAUAAACUAAAUUCUUCUAUCAGUCUAUAUGUACAACUUUUCAACUUCCCUCGAAAACAUUGGAAUACCCAUCAGUAGUAUUAACAUUUUUUUUAUUUUUUUUUUUAUUUUUUAGAGUUUUUUCACCAAAACAAUAUUAGUUAUUAGGUUUUUUUUAAAACUAAACAAAAUAUUAUACAUUACUAUUCACUAUUUAAACUUGAGGCUUUUCUAUUAGUAUAAAUAUGAGCCUAAAAAUGUUAUUAUAUAUUUAUUUGUAACACAUAACUUAUGAUAUGUUAUAUUAAUUCAAUCAAUUUUUACAGCUAUGAUAAACAUGUUUUCCAUUGUAUUACUUUUUUUCCUAGAUCUGUUAUUUUAACAUUUACCGAUAUACUAUUAUAGGAGUCUGAUGAUGAACGAUCCCAUCUGGAAUGGGAAACUGUUAGAGUUAAAUUCAUUAAAGCUGGAACAAUUGAAAAAUUGGUUAAUAGUCUGGCAUCAGAUGAUGGAGAGCUAGAGUCUACUUUUGUAAAUAUAUUUCUCGCUACAUAUAGAACUUAUGCAUCAUCUCAUCAUGUACUGUCUUUAUUAAUUGAAAGGUAUAUGCAAUUAUUAUUUAUCUAAAAUAAUUUAAACCAAUAGAAGUACAAAAAUAUAUUUAAAUAUAGUUUUAUAAAUUGAUAAUAAUUAUAUUCUUUUGCAGAUAUGAAUAUUUACUAAAUGCCAAACAAAACCUCACAGACAUAAUGAUUGAUUCACAUAAAAAGUAAUUAAUUUUAAACUUGACUAAUGAUUAAUAAUAAAUGUUUAUGUAUAUUUCUUUAAUUAUAUUUUAAUAUAUAAAAACAAUUUACUUUUCAUUUUCAUUUAAUUAUCAUAUGUUAUUUUUAGGACAGUUAUUUCUGCAUUACAUGUAUGGCUAGAUUCAUAUCCAGAAGAUUUUCGUGAUCCACCAUUACAUACAUGUUUAAGAUGUUUGCAUUCAUUCACAUAUACUUAUUUGCCUAAAACUGAACUUCAUUUAAAAGCAACAUAUAGACUAGAAAAAUUCCUUAAAGAAUGUAAUCAGUUAGGUAGGUUGAGUUAAUAAUAUACCCUUUUAUUUAAACUUAACAUUUUUUUUUUUUUCAGAUACUACAUAUAUAAAUGACAAAUAUGAUUUGGUGAUGACUAGUAAUUCACAUUCCUCUUACAAUUUUCCUAACAUAGCAGAAAGACAUUUUGCUGAGCAGUUGACCAGAAUGGAUCGUGUAUGUAUUUCGAAACAAAUAUUUUAUUAUAUUUAUCUAUUUACUAUUUAUUAGUAUAUUUCAUUUAAAAUGUAUCUUUAAUUGCAUUAAAAAGAUGUCAUACCACUCAUAAUUUAAGUAGAAAAACUAUUUUGUGUGGGGCAAAUUUUUUUCACUAUAUUAACAAUAGAAUUACCUAAAUUUUACAUUGUAUGAAGAAUAAUUUUAUCUAUGUUGGGUGCAUAUUUUUUUGAUAACAAAUAAAAAUUUUAAACUCGUCUAUCUGUUAGUAAAUUGUUUUUUUUUUUUUUUUUUUUUUUUCAUUUACUUAUAAAAAAAAAUAAACAGUAGUACUAUUAAAAUAAUAAGCACAAUAAGAUAGAUAAAGUUAUUCUUUAUGUGUUCUGAAAUUUAAAUUUUAUCUAUUAUAAUACAAUAAGUAAUAUAAUAAAUAAUAAUAUAAUAAGUAGCAAGACUGUUCACUGCAAAAAUAUUUGUCCAUAUAUAUUAGUUCAUUUCAUGAUUACACAAUAAACACUUGUAAUAAUGGCAAAAGAAUACAAUUUACAUAUAGUCACCUAUACAUUUAUUUGAAAGUGAAUUUAAAUAUUUUGUUUAUUGAUGAAUGUUUGUUAUUUUAAAAUGCAUUUACAUCAACCCUUAAAUAUUGGGUGUGUAGCAUCCUUUAAAUGUAUGUAUAAAUAUUACCUUAUUGUUAUAGGAUGUAUUGAAAGAUAUGGUAUCUCAUCAAUGCCUUGGUGCUGUUUGGUCUAAAAAUAAAAGAACGGGAUCUGCACCUACAGUUCUGGCAACAAUUGACCAGUUUAAUGCUGUAUCACUAAGAGUUAUUAGUACAGUUUUAUUAGCAAUUAAUUCAGUAAGAACACGUAUCAUUGAAACUUGGAUUAACAUAGCACAAGUAAGUAUAAUGAAAUGGGUCCCUAAGUAUAUACCUUUAAAAUCAUUCAAUAAUAUAAAGAAAAACUAAAUUAACUAGAAAUUUAAAUUAUAUGUCUGUAUAAAAUCAAAUAUAAAAAUGUAAUUUAUUUAUUUAACAAUUGAAAAUAAUUAUCAUAUUAUAUAAAAAGUUUAAAAUUAGACUAUCCUUAUAACCCCAUAAAUUAAUGCAAAAUUUAACCUAAAUAUAAAAUAAAAAUAUAUUUGAAUGAUUCUGAAAUUCAUAUUUUAAUUAAUACUUUACAUAAAUAAAUUAUUAUAAUAAGCUAAUUUUAAAUUUUAUACAGUCAAAAAUUAACUGUUUUUUAAUUUGUUUUUUUUUUUUAUAUGUAUAAAAAACACCUUCAAGCAGCAGUUUUGUCGCCAAAAUCAAAUUUUCUAUAAGCCAUUACAAUAUUUCAUUUUUUUUUUUUUUUUUGUAGUUGACUUUUAUUUAAUUUCAUAGGAAUUAAGGGUACUUAAGAAUUUUUCAUCAUUGAAAGCAAUUAUAUCAGGUCUACAAUCAAAUUCUGUGUUUCGAUUAAAAAAAACAUGGCAUUCUCUUCCUAGAGAUAAGGUAUUAGUGAUUUAAAUAUUCAAAUCAUAAUAGUAAAUUUUUUUAAUCCAGUUAUCUUUUAAAAAAUAAUAUUUGUUCUUAAAGCUGGAAUUGUUUCAAGAACUUGCAAGAAUAUUUAGUGAAGAAAAUAACCAGUGGGCCCAAAGAAAAUUGUUAAUAAAGGAGGGUACAGCUAAAUUUGCUGACACAUUUGGACACAAUGAUAGGCAUUUACAAAAAUUAAUUCAAAAACAACAAAGUACUAUGAGUGUAAGUUACCAGUUGUAAUAAAAAAUUAUACUAAUAUUUAUAUAUUAGUAUUGCAGGUUAUGUAACGCACAUUUUAAUAAUUAUUAUUUAAUAUUAAAUCAAUAUAAUUCAAUUUCUUAGUAUUAUUGUUUUUUAAAAAAAAAAUAUUGAUUUUAUGUAGAAAUUAAACAUUGGAACUAUUCCAUACUUGGGGACAUUUCUUACUGAUUUAACUAUGAUUGAUGCAGCCAUCCCUGAUAUUUUACCAGAUGGUUUAAUCAACUUUGAUAAAAAACGAAAAGAAUUUGAAGUUUUAGCUCAGGUAUGUAUUGUUUAGAUUUUAAUUUGAUAAAUAUUAAAAUGUUUACUGAAGUUGAUAAUAGUUUGGAAUGUUUACAAAUAUUAUUUUUUUUUUGUUUUAGAUCAAGCUUUUGCAAGGUGCUGCUAAUUCAUAUAAUAUAUCUGAUGAUGUAGUAUUUGACCAAUGGUUUCACUCAAUAUUAGUUUUGGAUGACAGAGAAGCAUUUAGAAUUUCUUGUCAAAUAGAAAUUCCAGACAAUUUACCUCCAUCCUGUACAAAUUCAAUUAUUGGAACAGGAAAGAAACAAAAGUAUAUAAAAUAUGAUAUUAUGUAAAAACAUUAAAAUUUCAAAAUGAUAAAUCUAAUCAAGUGAUAAUAUUUGAAUAAUGUCAUUACAGUUAUGAACAUAAGAAAAAUGAUUCAAUUUCUAGUAAUUUUAGUACUAAAAGCUACUAUGGUUUAUCUGAUGAUGGUUUACAAUCACCAAACAACUCAAUUGAUAAACAGGUAAAAUUUCUAAAUAAUGAAUUAUGUUUAAAUUAUAUCUUGUUAUUUUUUUUUUUUUUUUUUAAUUAAGAUCAUUAAUUUCUUAUAACAAUUAUUUUUGAGAUAAGCAUAAAUUGCCAAUAGUUCAUUCUACAAUUAAUUUUAUAUAAACGAAUUAGUUAUUUAACUAUGAAUGAUAGAGUGAUCAUUGAAAGUAAUAUUAUUAUUAAAGAAUGCCUAAAUUAUUGAAGAAUGUUUGAUUUUAGGAUUCAUUAUUUGAUUUAUCAUCUUCAUCAAGUAACUAUUCUAUGAAAUCAUUUGAUAUGUCCUUGAAUGGAAGCCAUAAUACAAAUACUUUGGUUAAACACAAUGUUAACAAUUCAACAUUGAACACUUCUCCUGAUUUUUAUAUUAUUAGAAUUACUGUGGAUGCUAACAAUGUUGAGACUGAUGGUAUGUUUUAUUUAUUAUUUAAUAAAGGGUGAUCAACUACAAGAUACUCAUUAUCUUUUUUUUUUGUCAUUUGUCACUAAAGUAACUAUUCAAUCAAUAAAAAAAAAAAAACUAUAUCUGCCAAUCUUUAUCAUUAAAUUUUGAUAAUAUAGGGUUUUCCAAUUAGAGCGGGCCAAUCUUAUCUGCGCUGUAUAGCCUUAUCGUUUUGUUGAAUUUUGUCGAAAUACAAAACGAACACGUUCUAUUAGAAUGAAUACAUAAAUAACUGAAUAUCAUAUAUUUAAUAUACUACUUUUUUUUUUGUAGUAUGUUUCUAUCUAUGUUAUGUUAUAAUGAAGUAUAAAAGAAAAUUGUAAUUGUGUAUAAGUAUAGGGUUUUCCAAUUAGAGUGGGCCGAUCUUAUCUGCGCUGUAUAGCCUUAUCGUUUUGUUGACGUCUGUCUAAUUUAUUGUUUAUUAUUCAGUCACUAAUGCCAAAUCAUCAUGGUUAGUUACACUAUAGAGCAGCGCGUCCAAAUUAUAAAAUUUUAUUAUCAAAAUAAAUGUUCGGUAGUUCAAACUUUGCGCUCGUUACGUCCAUUUUUUGGCCGACGUAGUGGUCCUUCAAAGUCGACUCUCCAACGUUUGGUGUCGAAAUUUGAGACAAAUGGUUCGGUAAACGAUCAGUUAACACCCGUACGUCAAAGAAACGCCAGAUCGGUCCAGAAUAUCGCCGCGGUACGUGAAAGUGUGCAGGAGAACCCGAGGCAGUCAAUUCCUCGCCGUGCACAAGAACUCGGUCUUUCACAGUCUUCAACUUGGCGAAUUUUGCGCCGGGACUUGGGCUUACACCCAUAUAAGAUCCAACUGACCCAGGAGCUCAAAAUUAAUGACCAUAGACAACGCCGAUUGUUUGCUGACUGGGUUUNAAGCGCAUUUUUGGAUGAAUGGCUAUGUUACAAGCAAAAUUACCGUAUUCGGGACAAUACCAACCCACACGAGGUUCAACUGGUAACAAUGUAUCGACAAAAAGUUACUGUUUGGUGCGGAUUUUGGGCCGGCGGUAUCAUUGGUCCGUACUUUUUUGAAAAUGACGUUCGUGAGGCCAUCACCGUCAAUGGUGAGCGAUACAGAACGAUGAUAACCAAUUUUUUUUUUUCCCAAAAUGAACGGUAUGGACGUAGACGACAUGUGGUUUCAGCAGGAUGGCACUACGUGCCAUACAUCCAACGCCACGAUAGCCAUUCUGAACGGCAAAUUUGAGGGUAUGGUUAUCUCUCGCCGAUGAGACGUGAAUUGGCCACCAAGAUCGUGUGAUUAGACCCCAUUAGACUUUUUCUUGUGGGGUUUCCUGAAGUCGCAGGUCUAUGCCGAUAAGCCAAAAUCAACAGAUGACCUUAAAGUGAACAUAACCCAGGCCAUCGCUCGAAUUCAACCGGAUAUAUGCGGCAGAGUCAUUGAAAAUUGGACCACUCGGAUUCGUGCCACUGUGAGAAGCCGUGGCGGACAUUUAAACGAUAUUAUAUUCAAAACAUAAUUGGCAUACUUAGAACUUUAAAAUAAAAAAAAAAUUUCACUAAUACCUCGCACAUAGCUUGUUUUAUUUCAUUUCAACAUCCACCCGCUCUUAUUGAAAAACCCUAUAUAUCUUUAAGAUGCUUCAGUAUAAACAUUUUCAAACCUUUAAUGAUUACUAUAGUAUAUUUAUAUAAACAAAUUCAAUUAUUUUAGGAAUAGUAUUAUACAAAAGCAUUAUAUUAAAUAAUAAUGAGCGAACACCUCAAGUCAUCCGAAAUGCUAUGUUAAAAUUUUGUAUUGACGAUAAUCCUGAAAAUUAUACUUUAUCUCAAGUUUUACCAGAUAAAGGUCAGUAGACAAUUUUAUUAAUACUUAAAUUCUGUAUUGUACGACUAUUUAUAUAUAAUAUAAUUUUCCUUUGAACAUUUCAGAAAUGGUUUUACCAACCAAUGCCAAUGUUUAUUAUGCAAUGAAUACAGAGUAUGACUUAAACUUUUUAUUACGUAAAAAAAUGUUGAUAAACAAUACAAUUCCUAAAAAAUAAAUUGUUUAAACUAAGAACUGACUAGUAAAAUCAUAAUGAUAUUUUAUUUUAUUUAUUGUAUAUGUAUAUUAUAUGUACAAAAAAACAAAAAUUAUUAUAAUAAAAUAAAUUGUAUUAUCAUUUAUAUCCUAUUUAUCCUUAAGUUUUCAUAGGGUUUCAUAGUUCAUUUUGUUUUUGGGCAUUUUGAAUAUGAAAAGAGCUGAUACUUAGGUAUGGGUGUGGUCACUAUUUUAGUUUGGCAGUUGAGAAGGUAUGAUACAUAAAGUUAUUUAAUAUACCUGUAACCAAAGAUAAACCAUUACUAAUUCGGUUAUGCAUGUUUUGAAAAACUGUAAUAUUUACAAUUAUCGACAAAAUUUAAUUUUAAAACUUAUAAAAAAUAAAUACUACAUUACACUCAUUUUUUUUUUUUUUUUUUACCACUAAGUUCAACAAAUUAUCAAGCAUUUUUAUUAAGUCUAACAAUUUUAUCAGUGGUGAAAUAUUGAAAGGAAAAAAUAAAAAUUUUGUCAUAUUUCUGGUAGAAAAAUGAUGUACACAUCACAUUUAAAACAAUGAAACCAGUAACUCCAUGGCACAUACUAUUAUUUUAUAAAUGCUUAAGUAGGUAAAUAUUUGUUUUUCCAUUUAAAAAAUGUGCCUAAUAUUAUAUAUAUGCAUAAUUAAUAUUUUGUUUUUUAUUUUUAGGUUAUAAAAUUAAAACUAUGCCAGGUCACAAUGAGACAAUACAGAUUCAAAACAUAUUGCCCAUACUAAGUUAACAAAAAUUAAACAAAAUAUGAAAAAAAUUAAAAUAUUUUGUUUGUUUUGUUUCUUUUUUCAUUUGUCUACACAUACUAAAAAACUUUAUUUCAAAAUUAUAAUGCCAACACAAUACUUUUGAUGUUUACCUAUGUUAUUAGAAAAAAUAUAAUUAUUUUAAUUUUGUCACAGUGACAUAAGAUUGUAUUUAUAAACUUACACAAACAUACAAGAAAAACUCAGUGUUUGAAAAAAUACAAAACAAUUUUCUGUCUUAUUUUUGUAUACUUUUAUAUAAAUGAAUGGUUUUAUGUCCC